ACUUUACUCUUCUUUAAGUCGCUCUGGAUAAGAGCGUCUGCUAAAUGACAUAAA
rfam:Salmo salar isolate Sally breed double haploid chromosome ssa01, whole genome shotgun sequence.